GUUCCUCACAUCCUCACUCUCUGGUCCUUCCUGCCGUCUCUCCACAUACACAGAGCUGGGCGACCGGUAGUUCUGCAACAGAUCAGAGGAUGGCAGAGGGUGGCAUUGCUGGGGUGGGGAAGCCCCCUGUAAGCCUGUACUGGAGAAGACCACCACUGCCUCUCUGUGCCCAGAACCAUGUCCCAACCUCCAGUGGUGACCUCGACCUGGACAGCGCCACUCCCAGCUGGCUCUGCUUCCGGAAUGAACCUCAGCUCCUUGACAAGACGGGAGGCGCUGCCCUGCUGUGGUACCUUCCUCCUCCUUCAGCUCCUACUUAAUGGAAGCCUCGCAGAUGCAAGAUGGCUCCAGCAGGCCCAGCAUCACUUCUUCUCAGUGUCCCAAAGCCAGAAGAGAGGCUGUUGUUUUUAAAAGCAGGAAAACUUUCCUAAACUUGGCCAGAAUUGCAUCACAGACCCUUUCCUAAAACAAUUUCCAGCAAAGGGAAUAGACUUACCAUGUCUGGUACAGAUGAAUCAAGGUUUGCCCCUGGGGGCUGGGGAGGGGCUUGUCCCGCUGAAGCAGACUCUUGCCCAGCAGCUGAACGAAGCCUAGGUUCACCAGACGGAGGAAGAGACUGGCCACUAACAGUGCCUGACACACAGAUGUGCUUCCUGUGAUAUCGCUGCUGCCACCGUUCCAAAUGUAAGCAGUUGGCUGUCUGGGAUACUACCUACCUUCUUUUGUGUUCUUAUUAAUAAAAUUAAAGAUUGCUUUCUGGGUAGAGAAAUUAACCUC
rnacentral:lncRNA from 1 species